rnacentral:rRNA from 1 species
GAUGAACGCUGGCGGCGUGCCUAAUACAUGCAAGUCGAGCGAACGGACGAGAAGCUUGCUUCUCUGAUGUUAGCGGCGGACGGGUGAGUAACACGUGGAUAACCUACCUAUAAGACUGGGAUAACUUCGGGAAACCGGAGCUAAUACCGGAUAAUAUUUUGAACCGCAUGGUUCAAAAGUGAAAGACGGUCUUGCUGUCACUUAUAGAUGGAUCCGCGCUGCAUUAGCUAGUUGGUAAGGUAACGGCUUACCAAGGCAACGAUGCAUAGCCGACCUGAGAGGGUGAUCGGCCACACUGGAACUGAGACACGGUCCAGACUCCUACGGGAGGCAGCAGUAGGGAAUCUUCCGCAAUGGGCGAAAGCCUGACGGAGCAACGCCGCGUGAGUGAUGAAGGUCCUCGGAUCGUAAAACUCUGUUAUUAGGGAAGAACAUAUGUGUAAGUAACUGUGCACAUCUUGACGGUACCUAAUCAGAAAGCCGCGGCUAACUACGUG